UUAAGUUCAGCGGGUAUCCCUACCUGAUCCGAGGUCAACCUAGAAAAGUUUGGGGUUGCUGGCAAGCAUCUCCACAGGCCCUAUAGCGAGAAAAUUACUACGCGUAGAGCUGAGGAGCACCGCCACUGAUUUUAAAGCCCGCCGGAUGGCGGCGCCCAAGACCUAGCCGGGCUAGAUUGGUAUUAAUGACGCUCGAACAG
rnacentral:misc_RNA from 1 species